rnacentral:rRNA from 1 species
UAGGGAAUCUUCGGCAAUGGACGAAAGUCUGACCGAGCAACGCCGCGUGAGUGAAGAAGGUUUUCGGAUCGUAAAACUCUGUUGUUAGAGAAGAACAAGGACGUUAGUAACUGAACGUCCCCUGACGGUAUCUAACCAGAAAGCCACGGCUAACUACGUGCCAGCAGCCGCGGUAAUACGUAGGUGGCAAGCGUUGUCCGGAUUUAUUGGGCGUAAAGCGAGCGCAGGCGGUUUCUUAAGUCUGAUGUGAAAGCCCCCGGCUCAACCGGGGAGGGUCAUUGGAAACUGGGAGACUUGAGUGCAGAAGAGGAGAGUGGAAUUCCAUGUGUAGCGAUGAGAUGCGUAGAUAUAUGGAGGAACACCAGUGGCGAAGGCGGCUCUCUGGUCUGUAACUGACGCUGAGGCUCGAAAGCGUGGGGAGCAAACAGG